rnacentral:lncRNA from 1 species
GAUCANACCUACCUGCAUCUUAUCAUGGUUCAUAAUGUGCAUUUUAUGCCAAAAAAUGAAUAUUACGUCCUGCCAGGACUAUUUGAAAAAAACUCACCUAGUAAGUAUUACUGGAAAGAAUUACUGGCUUUGUAGGAUAGGAGAGAUGUUAAAGAGGAAGAAGUAUAAAAAGAUGUUACACUGAUUAUGAGUCAAGGGAAUAUAAUCUUCGCUUCAAUUUAUGAAUUAUUGUGUUCAUUGUCCUGAAGAACUAAAUGUUGACACAAUUGCAUUUGUACAGUAACUGUUUUCAUUUGCUUGAUUUUUCAGGAAUGGCCGGCAUCCAUAGGCUCCCGAGGUAUAAACUACCUUACAAUGGAGAGGACAUCUUGUUAGUUUAGUAAGCAUCGACCUCACUGAAUUUAUCCCCUUCCUCUCCACUUUAUCAUCUUGUUGAAUAUGUCUCGACCAAGUAAGCAAAUUGUAAAGCAUUUUCUAGUUGUUUCGGGCCGUAAUCCUCAUCUUGUAUAUUUGGCUUGAUACACACAAUCCUCUCAAAUAUCAGUUUUGACUUUGUUUCACUGGAUAUUGUAAUGGUAAUUGGUAAAAGAAAGCUCAGUAUAAGUGUGAAUUGUUACAGAAAGAAAUUUUAAAUGAAGUUAUUAACUUCUUGUGUAUUUGACUUUGGGAUUACUUUUUACAGUUGACAUUGUGGUCUUGUGGAUUUGUGCAGUGGUGAAAAUUUUUGUUCUAUGAUUUGCUGGGAUGAUUUUGUCGCAGCUAAAUUCUGCAGACACAAUGAUCGAAGUUUAGUGUGUUUCUGUUAAGUUGUGUAAAAAUGCUACAUCAUCAACAGGGAAACCAUGGAAUACUUUUUCUUUUCACUUCUGGAAUAAGAAUUUUAGAUAAAAAGAGAGAGAUCAUCUCUAUUUCUAAAAAUUUUAUCCAGUAGAAAAUUAUUCGAAGUGUCUUUUAGGCUUUUACCCAGUGUAGGGUGAAGGAAGCUUAUGAAUGAUUCGUAGGUUGAGAUUCUUG